UACGUAGGGACCAAGCGUUGUUCGGAUUUACUGGGCGUAAAGGGCGCGUAGGCGGCAAUUCAAGUCAUCUGUGAAAUCUCCGGGCUUAACUCGGAACGGUCAGAUGAUACUGCUUUGCUCGAGUGCGGAAGGGGCAAUCGGAAUUCUUGGUGUAGCGGUGAAAUGCGUAGAUAUCAAGAGGAACACCUGAGGUGAAGACGGGUUGCUGGGCUGACACUGACGCUGAGGCGCGAAAGCUAGGGUAGCAAACGGG
rnacentral:rRNA from 1 species